rnacentral:sRNA from 1 species
UUGACAGAUGAUUCUGUCAAUCUCGUAUAAACACACAAACCAACUAUUCAAAUCAUGUUCUUUUGUUUUACACUAAAAAAUUUCAACAUUUUGAAUUGAAAACUACGCACAGAGUAGGAAGAUACAUGGUUUUUUUUUAAUUCUUGGUCUGCUAAAUGGCGUUUUGUCACAAACUAUGAGAUUUUCCUUUACAGUACUUUUUUUUAUCUAGUACAUGUUCAGAUAUUAACAUUAGAUACUAGUACUCCAACAAAAAUAAUUUUUUUUUCAUUCAAAUCUAGUUGUAAUAUCUAACCAUAAAUUUAUUUUAUUAAUUUUUUAAAUGAAAUAGUUGACCAAAUAAGAUCUGAAAUAUGUACAUUCUUUGGACACAGUUUACAAGUGCCUUGGUAACAGCUUCUAUAAAUAGUUUUUUUGGUUGUCACAAUGAAGAUGGGCUUUGAGAGAAAUCUUUGAGUAAUUGCCAAACAGUUCUACCUCUUCAAAUAAUAUAUAUUAUUAUCAUAUUGUAAUGGUUGCAUUUCCCCCCUUUUUCUUCAUCACUUGGUAAAUCAUAUAAUCAGCUGUUUGUUUUGUCAUCAUCUUCCAAAUAGUUAGAGAUGGGACAUUGCUACUUUGUGAUUUAUGUUUUGGGAACACGUAAGUGUAUCAUAUUUUAUGCAUAUUUGUGUCAUAUAAUUUUUUUUUUCCAUUUUUUUUCCAUGCAGUGCAAGUCAAUCAAAAUAUAGACUUCAUCUUAUACUCUAGGAAUUAUAGAGACUACACUGUUCUAUGCUAUACAGCACAAUAAAGCCAGGAAAAAUGC